rnacentral:rRNA from 1 species
UUAAAAUGUAUUUUUAUAGACUAAAUUAGUAUAAGGUAUAUUCUCAAAAAUUAAAGAUUUUGGCGGUAUUUUAGUCUAUUCAGAGGAACCUGUUCUGUGAUUGAUAAUCCACGAUUUAAUUCACUUACUAUAUUAGUUUACAUAUCGUCGUAGUUUGAAUAUUUUAUUAGAAUUUAAAUAUUCAAGAUUUAUUAUAAUAAAAAAAAUCAGAUCAAGGUGUAGUUUAUUAGUAAGAAGAAAUGGGUUACUAUAAUAAAAUUUUGGGAUGGUUACUUUUAAAGUAAUUUGAAUAAGGAUUUGACAGUAAUUUAAAUUAAUUAAUUAAAAUGAUUUAGCUCUAAAAUAUGU